rnacentral:lncRNA from 1 species
AAAUAUUUACUUCUAUAAAGUUAUAGCAACUAAUAAAUGUCAUUUUGAAACAAAUAACCUCUGUUUUCAAAAUUCAUUUUUGUUGCAGUGACUACGACAACCCACGCAGGCGGGCCCUAGGCCCAAACUAUAUUACGCUAACAGGCCUGUGAAGCUGCAUUUUCAGCUUGUAAAUUCCACAAGCUUGACAAUCUUGAACGGCCAAACGGGGUUAGAGAGACCUCCAUGCUCUUUACUCUCUGCAAGUGAACAAGUUUAUAUUGAAAAGUAUAUGAACAUCCAAGAUGUGUCCCGAAAAUUGAUAGCAGCUUGGUAAACAAGUAACCAAUAAUACUUACUUAGUUUUCCCCUCUUUCAAAGGGCAGGGUCACUGAGAGCCGAGCCAGGAUCACCGGUUUCCAACAGAGGAUGAGUAACCUUGACAACACUCAGCCGCACCUCAUCAGCUGAAUACGGGCUGAACGACACCGACACCAUUCAACCUAAGGAGGAGGAGGAGGAGGAGGAGACACCGACACCGAUUCAACCUGACACUCUUGACAUCGUCCUUUUGACAGUUCCGGUCCUGGAGGUUAGUAGUCAGGAAGACAAACUUCAUGUUACCCCAGUUAUAUAACCACAAAGACAGACUUCCCGUUCUUGCGGUUAUAACCGCCACCGGGGUCGCUGCAUAACCGCGCAAACGACCACACCUUUUUGUAGUUGGCUAUAAGCAAAUUCCACCAGUGGAAGCAGCUUCUGUAACGCCCUGCUUCCGGUUUAGUCGGAAACGUCAGAUCAAACAAUUAAAAUUCGACAGAAUCGGUGGAAAUGUGUGAGUUCGCUGCUAACAGUACAACGGAUGUUGUCUGGGCAGCAACCAUUACCUCUGAUGGAGUCCAUGGUCGUUG